rnacentral:piRNA from 1 species
CAGAUAAAAGGAAAACUUUUGCUUUGUCU